rnacentral:rRNA from 1 species
GGAAUGGUGAAAUAGAAUUUUCGAAUUUGAAAAGAACUUGAAAUUUAAUGUUUAUAAUCAGUUGUAGCUUUAAAAAAGCGGCAGCGUUCCUUUUGCAUAAUGAAUCAAUGAGUUUAUAUUAAUGGCAAGCUUAAACAUUUUAAAGUGUAGGCUAAAAAAAAUUGAGUUUUAAAUUGCGCUCUUUAAAGAAUAUUAUUAGUCUUUGAUAUAAGACCCGAAACUAAGUGAUCUAAUCAUGAACAGGCUGAAUUUAAAGCGGUAACGCUUAUUGAAGGGCCGAACUCGUGUAUGUAGAAAAAUACUGAGAUGAUUUGUGAUUAGGGGUGAAAGGCCAAUCAAACUCUGU